CCUGCCCGCCCAAACUCCACCCCGAGGGAAGGCGGUGCGGAUAAAGGCUUGGGGGCCGCCCGCUCGGCCCCAGACCUGCCCCGCCACCGCGCACUGGUUUUGGACUUGGGCACGCUCUGGACGGUUGGGACCUCGGACUGGCGGCGCCUGAUCUUCCAAGCGGCGGCGGCGGCGACGGUGUUGGCUGUUGCUAAGGGAGGGGACGCGCGGGGAAGCGCGGCCCGAGCGGCGGAAGGCACCGAGCGAGGAAGCCCGAGCGGCGCCCCCCCCCUCUCCGGACCCUCCCCCGCGCCCACCGUCCUUGAAAGGAGCUGCGAGUACAGUCCCCACCCCCGGAAGGCGCCCGGA